GUUUCCUCUCUCACAGGCGACACCGCCAAAGUUCUCUGCAGAGCGCUUCGUCUUCUCCGGUGCAAAUGUGCGAAAAAAAUAGUACAUGGAUUUAUAUAAAAGAACAGCACGUGAAGAAGCUGCUAGACUAUAGCGGAUCGAACUGAGCAUUUUGAAUUAAAAAAAAGGUGGCUUUGUGAGAGGAUUACUCAC